UACAGAGGGGGCUAGCGUUGUUCGGAAUCACUGGGUGUAAAGGGUGCGUAGGCUGUCCGUUAAGUCUGAUGUGAAAGCCCUGGGCUUAACCCUGGACCUGCAUCGGGUACGGGCAGACUAGAGUGCGGUAGGGGAGAUCGGAAUUCCUGGCGUAGCGGUGAAAUGCGCAGAUAUCAGGAGGAACACCGGUGGCGAAGGCGGAUCUCUGGGCCGUAACUGACGCUGAGGAGCGAAAGCAUGGGGAGCGAACAGG
rnacentral:rRNA from 1 species